CGAGUUUGAUCCUGGCUCAGAACGAACGCUGGCGGCAUGCCUAACACAUGCAAGUCGAACGAAGCCUUCGGGCUUAGUGGCGCACGGGUGCGUAACACGUGGGAAUCUGCCCUUCGGUUCGGAAUAACAGUUAGAAAUGACUGCUAAUACCGGAUGAUGACGAAAGUCCAAAGAUUUAUCGCCGAAGGAUGAGCCCGCGUAGGAUUAGGUAGUUGGUAGGGUAAUGGCCUACCAAGCCGACGAUCCUUAGCUGGUCUGAGAGGAUGAUCAGCCACACUGGGACUGAGACACGGCCCAGACUCCUACGGGAGGCAGCAGUGGGGAAUAUUGGACAAUGGGCGAAAGCCUGAUCCAGCAAUGCCGCGUGAGUGAUGAAGGCCUUAGGGUUGUAAAGCUCUUUUACCAGGGAUGAUAAUGACAGUACCUGGAGAAUAAGCUCCGGCUAACUCCGUG
rnacentral:rRNA from 1 species